rnacentral:lncRNA from 1 species
CUUCAAUAUUCUUCUAUCUUCCCAUACCGUGUUGUGCAGAGUUGAUCGAGGAUUCUAGUGGCGUUGGAGAUUGAAAAACCUCUAAUAUAGAGUCGUUUCGGUAGUUUUCUAAAACACGGUGCUGCUAUUCUCGCAUCUCGGGUUUUUUGUUUCUUAAUAACCUCAUUUUUUUUCAUGUUUUUUUAUGUUUGAUUUCAUGUGUGUUUUGUUCUUAGGAUUCGUAUCUAUUCUAGUAUUCUACUAUUGCUAUUUUCCUCCACUCAACAAUGUCAAACCGUUCAUAUUCCUCACCACUGUUCAAUGCCAUUUCACCGCUGUUCAACAUUUUGACUCCCUCACGUUCUUCCUCUGUUCAACUGACUUUAAUUGAAGUGCUCUUCUCAGGUUUUGUUUUAUCUAAUUGUGAACAUAAAUCCCUAGUUUAUGUGUUCUCAUUUAUUUUCCCCUCCUUUUAUAUACAUAAAAAUAGAC